UUUGCCCCUAGGCGCCGCACUUUCUUCCCCAAGCCGCAGCCCGCAACCGCAACCCCGCACGACACUCGCACUUCCUUCCCCCUAUAUCGCACGAUUGCAGGAGCCGUGGCUCUGAGGGCUCCGUCGCCACCCCCUCAUGCCCUAACCCCUCCCCCACCGCUCUGAUAGCUACGCCGCCGCCACCCUUCCGCUCCCCUGUGGCUCUGAGAGCUCCGCCGCCCCCCCUUCCCCUUGGCCUCUGUGGGCCGCGGCUCUGAGAGCUCACUGAGAGCUAUCCUAGGGAUGGCAUCUGGAAUUGGAUCCUGCAUCAUGGGCCGGUGAAGAUCUUCAUCCUUUAGUGGCACCUGGAAUUGGAUCCUAUCGUGGUCGCAAUGGUGCUACUGAAUUGAGACUUUUUAUUUGUGUUGAAUUUACAUCUUAAAAUGUGCAAUUCUUGUUAUACUUAACUUAAUUUGCUGCUGCUAGCAAUA
rnacentral:lncRNA from 1 species